UCAACUGGCCAUCUCCUCUUCGCGGAAGCCAUGCCGAGGCCACGACUGCGGAUGAGCACCCAUGCAGGCUGCCGGUGCCCCGCGCCACCGGAUCCUCCCCCAGCGUCGUCGUUCGACGCACCGCCGCGGCGCCGUUCCGCUUCUGCCGCCACAGCCAUCUCCACGACGCUGUGGCAGACCUCCUCUCGGUACUCCACAUUGAAGGCUGGGCCGAGCUGCCGCUGCCUGGUUCACCUGUGUGCGCCGCCCGCAUCCCGUUAACUGUCGCAGCGCUGCCAUCGGCAUGCUUCGCUGCCCUCCACCGCACUCCUGGUUGCCACCGACGACGAUCCCAUGGUGGUGACGACAUGCAGCCUAUCCCUGCUGCGUGCCCGACGCCGACGUCGAUUGUCGCCGCCAGCGGUGGCUGGAGUUGGAGGCGGGAAAAAGGAGAAGCCGCGGAGGAGGAAAAGGGAGAGGGAAGAGUAGAGAGAGGUCAUAUGUUACCGGCGGCUGCCUCUCAAUUAUUUUUCGCACGGUGAGGCUCUCGAUCAGGCUCUAUCGCCUCCGUGCUGGAUUUCUCUCUCGGGUUGUGUAUAGUAGCGAAGAGAAAGAAGAAGGAAGUGAUGCGAGAGGCCCGACGGAAUGCGCCAGCCAGAGGACCGCGGUCGUGGCAACCCGUAGCCUUACCUCCAGCGGAGCGCCUAAGAUUCUUCUUCUGCUCGCUGGCCAGCUGCAACCUGAAACGGUGCCCUCCUCUCCAUGUCGGAGCUCCUCCUCCUUUAAUCCGGUGUGUUGGAGUCUUGGAGAUGUUACAUCUGCGGUCGGCGGCCAAGGAGCUCUUGAUGCGCGGCGUCAGCGGCAGGAGCCGUGUGCGUCCCCCUUGACCACGCAAAGAGCAUAACCAGUGGGAGGCAAGUCGUGGGAGAUGGACAGGGACGGGCGGACUAGCCUGCGUGCGGGACCCUGUGCUAUGUUUGCUGAGGCGAAUACUAGCGACGCUGCAGCCGCACGGGAUGGAACGGCGGUUCCCAUACGCGGACCGGAGGCGACGCUAUUGCUGCUGUUGGCGGCGGCGUCCCCAGGCGCCAGAGGUCCUCCAUCCUCCGCCCUCCCGGGGACGAGAUAAGCCGCGGUGCAUUCAUCCAUGCUUCACCCCUUCCGACCCAUCUCGGACGGGGCCACACUGUAGUACCAGCCAGUCGCGACGAGACCGGCAACGCCUCCGCGUGCGGCAGCGCCCUUUCAAGGCCCAGUUAGUGUUCGCCGCAGGUGCCAUCACCGAGCGUACGUGCUCUCCAUCAACAAGAGCACGGACAGCAGCACGUACAACAGGCCACUGUGCUGUUCGUCCUUCAAGGUUAGCUGCAGGAUUAUCCGGCAGAAACCAGUAAUGUACUCGCGGGCUACUUCGAUAUGAAGGACAGACAGUCGUUUGCACUUUGCAGGCCGUGUGCUGUUUGCUAGCUGCUUCCACCAGGUGUCAGAGAUCAACACAAAGAUUGAGACGGUGUACUCUCUCUCUCUCUCUCUCUUGUUGUUUUUUGACGUAUUUCUUCGGUACGUGUUUCAUGCAUGCAGCUGACGUGUUACUCUGUUUGACGUCUUCUAUUUGCAUGCAGCUGACAAGAUAUUACAUCUUUCAAAUUUCAUGCCGGACUUUAUUCUUUUGCGUCGGUAAUUCAAUUUAUUUUCUUAACUUGGCUGCUUACAUAAUGGUGAAAGGGUGCACUAAACUUAUUGUUUCACAUUUUAUUUUAUCCAUGCAAAACUCCAUGUAUUAAUACGAUUUGAUUUGGGGAUGUUUUGCUCCAUCAUCAGUUAGCAGACAAGUCUUCUCAACAUAAUGAAUUGGGGAUGUUUUUUGAUGUAAUUCCAGUUUGAGUUAAAGUUCCGGUCUCUAUAUUGAGAAGGUACAACGAGGUUGACCUUAGAUGGUUGUCUUGAAAUAGUCCCUAGUAAUUACCUAUGUGUUCGGUCCCAUUAAACAAACCAAGUAAACGUAUCCAUUUGCAUGCCACUGCAAACCCAAAAGAGAUGAUGUCCAAACUAGAAACCAAUCAAACAGUCCAAAAUUUAACACAUGAGUCUUCAUUUAUCACGUAUGUAAUCUAUCAACAUGAAGUAUUCACAAAAUUUUAUAUAAUUUCAUCAUCAACACAAAUUCGGCUCACGGUCGAACAUGGAUGCGAUGAAUUAUUGAAGAAUCACAAUUUUAUCAUGCAAUAUCAAUAUGUAUUCCCUUUAUCUACAAUGCGUCGAUUCUUUUUAUGCAAUAAUGAUUUUAUUUAUGGAAGAUUUCAGUACAUUGCAGUAUAAAAAAUAAUUUUGAAUCAGCAACAAUUAAAAUAAUUAAUAAAAUUGUUAACAGUUAAAGUUUAAUAUAACCCUAUGUAUCAACAGGAGCGGCAUGCUGUAUACAACCUUAUUAGUAAUGUAUAAGUGUGUACACUUCCAUUAUCAGUAUGUAUCAUCAUGCCUGCAAUAAAUGUCUCUUUUUUCAUCUUUUACAACUGGACUCAUCGUAUAUACUCUUUAUGCGUGUUAUCCAUGGACGAUUCUAUCGUUACAAAUAUAAUAAUAUAAUGCCCUUUUGCGAUCCGUGUAACAACAACGUAUCGACGAGCGUGGCGUGUUGCCGCGCGGGCUAUGCUAGGACUUAGGGUUUAGGGUACACGUUUUGGUGCGCGUACUGAUUGCUGUUGGAAAUCAUAAAAAAUUGAAUCUUUAUCUGCCCAUUGGCUGCAUGUUCCGGUUGUUCCUCAGUUCGUGAUUGGUUGCAUGUGUUAUCUGCAUGGAGAGAUCGAAACUGAUUUUCCCUUCAAAUCGAGUCGGCCGUCGCCCGCACCUUCUGGGUUUCUUCCGCUGUCGGUUGCCGCUUUGCUGUAGUUUUCUGGGCCCUUCUACAGCAUGUGCGCUGGUCGUUUUCGAUUUGUGCUCUUCCCCUCUGCUGCCUCCUAUAAAUAAUGCCUUCCCCGUCCGUCGGUUCGUCAUUCCAUCUGCUCCCAUCUCCUCUCUCUCCUUUUCUAACUAGUGAGUAUUUAGGAUUUGUUGUGCCGGCGAUGGUUGCUCCUGCUCCUGUUCGGUCUGGACGUCGUCGCCGGGGUCGUCCUCCAGGGAUUCGAGCGGCCGUUAUUGCCCGUGUGCGCCGUGCGGGCAUGCCUGUUUCUUCUGCCGAUUUUCAUUCGGGUCGGCGGCCACUGCUGUGCAUGAUCAGCUGGGUGGAGUCGAUUCAGGAUGGCUUCUCCGCUUCGCGGCUCACCGGCUGCUCCAUUCCCGCCGGACUGGCCACCAGCGUUCUAACUCGGAGCAGUUUCGUAAUGGAGAUCUUGAUGCUCGCCGUCGGGAGACUUUGUUGGGGAAGCGACCUGUUGAUGCACUGUUGGUUCGACCAUUACUGCUGGUUCUUCUUCCGCAUUUGAUGGCUUCGUAUCUGCUGCUCGGCCCUCCAUUGCGCGAACUGGUGAGUUAUUGUUUCUUUUCUCUGCUUAUUUUCUGUCCAUGUUGUUAUCUCUCUUGGCCAGUGCUUCUGCGGCCUUCUACUGGUUGCACGUGCCGCUGCUGGCCCAAUCGGUGUGCAAAAGGCACCAGCGUGUGGGCCCCAGCGCAUGACACGAUAGCAUGCACAGUCAGGCGAUGAAGGGUAUCGACAUAUACUGGAAUGGAAGCACACGGGGGCAUGCAGUGUACGCAUGCACUCGAACGAAAUACAUCGAUGCAUGCAGUGUACGCGUGCAAUCCGAUGAGAAUUCGCUGUCACAUGCAGUGCACGCAUGCAACCCGAUGAAUAUACGCCGCUGCAUGCAGUGGACUCAUGCAACCCGUUGAAUAUACCCCGCCGCAUGCAGUGCACGCAUGCACUUCGAUGAAAAUACCUCGCUGCAUGCAGUGCAUGUAUGCACUUCAGUAAUGCUAACUGAGUACACCACAAUGGACGAAGCUUAUCAUCGCCAGAGAGCGUCCUCCAUAGCAAAGCAAGUUAAGAGAGGAAGGGUAAACAUCCAGCCCUAAAUUUUAAUCAUGGAAGCGGAAGUACCUCGGAUGAGAAUCUUAUAGUGUAUAUUCCAAGACGACCAAUGCUUGAAACAGUGAGUGAAACAAUUGGCCUAAAAGUACAAGGCUACACCUGUCGGUACGUUCAUGAAGGUAUGAUACAAGUGUCUGUACUGAUUGCUCUGCCAUGCCGGAAAGAUAGCUUCAGAGAAUCCUCCAUUACAUAUGAAGGAGAAGCAGCUAAUACAGAAGAUGAAGCAAUGGAAAAGGCAGCUCAGGUGGCCUUCGAAUGCAUCUGUGCAGACUAUAAUAUUUCCACCAAUGAUCAUAAUUACUAUGCUCUUGAAGUCACAAAGGAAAGGUUAUUUACAGCAAGAGAGAAGGCUCAAACAAAGCAAUGGCAGUUCAAUAUGGCCCGCCAGCAAGUAAGCACAUAGCAAAACGAGUUUGCAACACAGACAAUGAUUCUGGCAAAGAUAUGCAAUGGCUUCUUUGAUUUAUUACCACUUCGUAUGUAUCCCCAGCGCCUAGACAACGACGAUCCCAUUAUCACAUAUACAGGCGCGCACCCUCUCGUCGGACGUAUGCAAAAACUUGCAAAAUCACUUUAUCAUUUUAUCACAGGCACCAAUCCUGCAGGAGGAUAUAAUAGGAUGAUCUAAUCCACUAGCAACUACUUCUAGCUUAUCUAUGUAAUGUGUUUGUGUUUUUAUAUACAGUACUCUGUUUGUAGCGAACUGUAUGUAUUUUGAAUAAUUUGUUUGCCCCAGGAGUGUGCCACUUUUAAUUUGUAUCUUUGUAUCUCUACAUUUGCAAUAUUUCAAU